GUUGGUUACUAUCUAUUCUUUUUCUAUUAUGCCUGAUUUAGACAUAGUGGGAAAGUCGGCGAGGUCGGCGGCUGAACCCACUGGGAACUUUGUUGUAGUUCUCACCCCACUAUUUCCAUAGAGCCGGAAUCGAGCGAGCCGGCUGAUGAUCGCGAUAAAGGUAUCGCGCCAUAGCUAGAGACCACUCGAGUUGGUUUCACAUUUUGGUUUAGUUGCAUUAUCCUUUAUAUCAUCUUUUGUAUUAUGAUAAUUAUAGAUAUUUAAAUGAAAGAACAUGAACGUUGUCAAAGGAUUUAUAUUUUAAUGCAAAGAGUUUUAUUUUGGAGUUUUGUGUGACGAAAAGAGAAGAAAUGAUGAUAAAGUAAAGAAUGCAAAUGUAAAGGUUGAAUGUAUGUAUGUGAUUUAAAGUUAAUCAUAUUAUUUGUAUGAUAUUUAGUUAAUAAUUUCACUUUAGUUAUUGCUUGUCCUCGUGCAAGCCAUUAUGUAUGUUUUGAUAUGUGCAAAUUUUACACUUUAUUUGUACUUGUUGUUGA
rnacentral:lncRNA from 1 species